rnacentral:rRNA from 1 species
UACGAAGGGGGCGAGCGUUGUUCGGAAUUACUGGGCGUAAAGGGCGCGUAGGCGGCCGAGCAAGUUAGAUGUGAAAGUCCUGGGCUUAACCUGGGGACUGCAUUUGAUACUGCUUGGCUUGAAUUCGGGAGAGGAUAGCGGAAUUCCCAGUGUAGAGGUGAAAUUCGUAGAUAUCGGGAGGAACACCAGCGGCGAAGGCGGCACUCUGGGCUGGUACUGACGCUGAGGAGCGAAAGCGUGGGUAGCAAACAGG